AUGAGAAAGUCCUGCGAGUGCUGCAAGAGAUACUGGACUCAUUUGCAUGGAAAGGUCAAGUGUUUCUUCACCCACAUGGACAGAAACUCUAGCCAUAGCAUGGUCAUACCAGAGAGCUUUGUGAACUAUUUUGGGUGGAAGCUAUCAGGAACCAUUGAACUAGAAGCCCCCAAUGGUAAUGUGUACGAUGUCGGAAUUACUGAGCGUAGGAACAAAACAGUACUCCGAUCUGGGUGGGAGGCGUUUGUGGACGCGAAUCAUAUAGUAGAAAGAGACUCGCUGAUGUUCCGAUACCAUGGAAAUUGUCGCUUCAAGGUUGUGGUCUUUGGUGCUAGUGGUUGUGAGAAAGUGGUGUCAUGUUCUGCUCGCACACAGAGCAAUAUCAAUGAUCAAGAACCAAGCACAAAUUCUACAGACAUUUCAACCAGUUCCAGUGAUGGUAAUACUCAUUCGUCAGCACGAGGACGAUCGGAUGAUUGCCAGAGUGGAAGCUCAGGCCAUUGUCGAAAACGAGCAAGGAAAGAUGCAAUACCUUCUCGGUCAGAGGAUUUGUCAGGUUAA
rnacentral:rRNA from 1 species